rnacentral:ncRNA from 2 species
AUGCAUGAGGGAGAUGGCAUGCCUCCCGCUCCAGCCAUGGAGCGAACCGCCGAAGUGCAGCCGCACCGACGCUAAUGAUGCCUGCACCACC